GCGGCAAAUGGGUGAGUAAUAUCUGGGAAUCUGCCCAAAAGAGGGGGAUAACUACUAGAAAUGGUAGCUAAUACCGCAUAAUGUUGUAAAACCAAAGUGGGGGACCUUUUGGCCUCAUGCUUUUGGAUGAGCCCAGACGAAAUUAGCUUGUUGGUAGAGUAAUAGCCUACCAAGGCUACGAUUUCUAGCUGGUCUGAGAGGAUAACCAGCCACACUGGAACUGAGACACGGUCCAGACUCCUACGGGAGGCAGCAGUGGGGAAUAUUGCACAAUGGGCGAAAGCCUGAUGCAGCUAUGCCGCGUGUAUGAAGAAGGCCUUAGGGUUGUAAAGUACUUUCAGCGGGGAGGAAAAAAAUAAAAAUAAUACUUUUAU
rnacentral:rRNA from 1 species